AUUCAAGGUAACCUUAUAUUAUUAUGUGCAGUACACAAUAAUCACACUCUUACUUUUGUACUUGUACUCGUGGUAUUCCGGGAGCCAAGGUGCCAUAUUUUGAGAUACCAUUCUCAGAAUGAUGAGCUGUCCUGCAGUACAUGGAGCACAUUGUUGGCUGAACCUGAUUGCAUGGCAUGACGUACGUGAUGGGACAAAGAUCCUCACCACUCGACUAGCCAGCUGCUCCUCAGGACUCACUCAUGUGCUGUAGCUCACCUUACAGUACAUGUAGAGUCUACACAUAUAAAAGAGGUAGGUGGGAGAGGAUAUCCACGACCAAUUUGGAAGGCUCAUGAGGCUCUUGCAGCAUAGAUUAUAUAUAUUCUCACAAAAUUGUUGAGCUUUAAUUUGCUUGUAUAUUUUAACCUCUAUGGUUUGCAGAUCCUCCCCUUUUACUCAUAAUUAGAUGGGCUGCUCCAGCUCUAGAAAAGAAAAGAAGAGACCAGCCUAGCUCCUGCACACUGAAUAUCAUUAUACUGUGUCAUCUCAGUAUACGUUGAUGGGGAUCUGGAACCCUAUUUCUUGUAACCUGGCAGGCUUACAAGCAGGCCGCCAUAAUUAUCAUGAAGGUGAUAAGAUUUUUUCUCAUGACUAGCCUUGAUUCUAAAACAUAAUUAUGAUGUAGGCAUUUAGCUCUCUGAUGCAACCGUGGUAUAUAUAAUGUGAUACCAAUAGUUUGUGCAUUAAUUAUUAAUUUUGGAAAACAACAAACAGUCUUGAACACCUAUUAACUUAGUGAUUAACUGUUCAUAAAUCAUUUUGCAUAGUCAAAAUUGUAGGUAACACAAUAAAGCUAAGACAAUAAUUAUAGUUAAUUAUAGUUAUAGCUAAUGUGUGUAAUUGUGUCGUUCUUACCGUGUCCGUUCUAUGUUGUCUUUGUGUUUACAUAGCAUUGUUUAAAAUA